GAGUUUGAUCGUGGCUCAGAUUGAACGCUGGCGGCAUGCCUUACACAUGCAAGUCGAACGGCAGCACGGGAGCUUGCUCCUGGUGGGCGAGUGGCGAACGGGUGAGUAAUGCAUCGGAACGUAUCCUGGAGUGGGGGAUAACGUAGCGAAAGUUACGCUAAUACCGACAUAUUCUGUGAGCAGGAAAGCGGGGGACCUUCGGGCCUCGCGCUCUUGGAGCGGCCGAUGUCGGAUUAGCUAGUUGGUGAGGUAAAGGCUCACCAAGGCGACGAUCCGUAGCAGGUCUGAGAGGAUGAUCUGCCACACUGGAACUGAGACACGGGUCCAGACUCCUACGGGAGGCAGCAGUGGGGAAUUUUGGACAAUGGGGGCAACCCUGAUCCCAGCCGAUGCCGCGUGAGUGAAGAAGGCCU
rnacentral:rRNA from 1 species